rnacentral:lncRNA from 1 species
UAAUCCCUUAUUUUAGGAAAAAUUUGUCAAAAAUUUGCCUGGACACGUGUCCCUUACUUUUCAUUUUUUUCCUUUUUUUUCUGAUCAAAGCCACAUGGCGCAUGAUCAAUGGCUCUAUGUAGUGAAUAAGACAACACUCAAGACAAAUGAAGGAUCCCAUCUAUGCAUGUGCAAUGCACACUCACGUUUCUAACCAUUAUAUCUAGCGUAAAUCUCAUCAAAC